rfam:Echinops telfairi cont1.350830, whole genome shotgun sequence.
AGGCCGCGGCCCCAGGGACCGGCGCGCACGCCGGGGGCUGAGCUCCGGGCGUCACCCCAGGCCGCGGACAACUGAAUAAACACGCCGCCGCGCUCCGAUCUGUCAAGGGCUGGGGCCUCCU